rnacentral:lncRNA from 1 species
UUGAGUGCCCUCCCGUACAUGGGGAGAUGUUGUACCAAAUUGUAAGUGUUGUUGUUGUACCAGAUUGAUUUGCUUGCCCAUCCAUGGCCAAAUCUUGGAGGAGGUGACGUUUGUGGCCAGUUUUUGCCGAGGGCAGGACAUGCGCUGCGGAUCAGGUCUUGCCCACCAGCGAGGCCGUCCAUUGGCGCUCGGACAUAUAGCUUUGUGAUUUGGUUGAGGGGCCAUCUUCUCUGUGUUGUUCCUGUCGUCUUAGGCUGCAGACGUACUGACAGGUAUGAAUCCCUUUGUGCUAUCCCAUUUGCCUCUUGCUUUGCAUAAUGUGCAUCAUAAUUUCAUUAACAUAUUUUUUCUGUUGAAUUAAAUUUGGAUAUUUGGCUAUACGUUUUCCAAAAUUAGAAGCUUUCAUGUUUAUAUUGUAGCAGAUUACGCGUUGUAAUUUCAUCCCAGAUUAGAAAUUGUUUAGUAAAAUAUCCAUGCGACAACCACGCUCAAGAUUGAAUAAAGAAGAUAUUGAAA